rnacentral:tRNA from 1 species
GUGGGUUUAGCUCAGUUAGUAAGAACAAUGCAUAAUAUAUGCAAGGUUCUGGGUUCGAAUCCCGGCCACCACA